rnacentral:rRNA from 1 species
UACGUAGGGUGCAAGCGUUGUCCGGAAUUAUUGGGCGUAAAGAGCUCGUAGGCGGGACGGUAAGUCGGGCGUGAAAUCCCUAGGCUCAACCUAGGAACUGCACUCGAAACUACCAUUCUUGAGUGUCGGAGAGGAAAGCGGAAUUCCUGGUGUAGAGGUGAAAUUCGUAGAUAUCAGGAGGAACACCAGUGGCGAAGGCGGCUUCUGGACGAUAACUGACGCUGAGACGCGAAAGCGUGGGGAGCAAACAGG